CUGCGAAUAUUCUCGCUGUUCUGAUUGUGUUAUAAUCAGGGCAGGCUAAACAUUCGCUAUAGUAAGACCAUGCAUGUGUCCCCAGACCUAGAUCUUUCCCUAGGUCUGGUUUUACAAAUGCUGGUGAUAAAC
ensembl:snoRNA SNORA72 Small nucleolar RNA SNORA72